AUUGAACGCUGGCGGCAGGCUUAACACAUGCAAGUCGAGCGGGGUGAUGGUGCUUGCACUAUCACUUAGCGGCGGACGGGUGAGUAAUGCUUAGGAAUCUGCCUAUUAGUGGGGGACAACAUCUCGAAAGGGAUGCUAAUACCGCAUACGUCCUACGGGAGAAAGCAGGGGAUCACUUGUGACCUUGCGCUAAUAGAUGAGCCUAAGUCGGAUUAGCUAGUUGGUGGGGUAAAGGCCUACCAAGGCGACGAUCUGUAGCGGGUCUGAGAGGAUGAUCCGCCACACUGGGACUGAGACACGGCCCAGACUCCUCCGGGAGGCAGCAGUGGGGAAUAUUGGACAAUGGGGUGAACCCUGAUCCAGCCAUGCCGCGUGUGUGAAGAAGGCCUUAUGGUUGUAAAGCACUUUAAGCGAGGAGGAGGCUCUUUUGGUUAAUACCCAAGAUGAGUGGACGUUACUCGCAGAAUAAGCACCGGCUAACUCUGUGCCAGCCGCCGCCGUAA
rnacentral:rRNA from 1 species